CCAGCACUUGUAAGCAGACUGCGACGGUUUUAGACCUUGAAGCCGCGGCUCUUCCGGCGGCCGCGGGCCUUCUCGAACUUGCGGCCCUUCGCGCGCACGUACGGCUUCGUGGUGGAGCCCGGCACACCUGCAACGCGCCGGUGACGACGUGGCGGCGGAGCAAGACCCAGUUAAUAUGCAGUAAUAAAGCUGGUUUUAGGUGUUAACCGCACGACCCGAAAAUGCAUCAUGCGUUGCAUCAAGCACGAUGCAGCGCGACACCCGCCCAAGCAGACGAAACCUGCCAAAACUCAUGCACUUCUUAGCAAACCCCUUUUGCCCAAUAAUGCUAAUGAGCUGCGAAGCUAAGGGCGAAGGACUGCGCCACUACGGCAAGUUAGGCGCCCAGCCACAUAGGUAGGUAGAUGUAGACGAAAUAUCUUAGAUGCAUCUCAGCACUCGACUUAAUGCAAUGUGGGGUGGGAUUUCGGUCAAUGUAACAUCAGUCAUUUAUAUUGGUGCGUGCUUGGCAGUACGAGAGCCGUUGCGGACAACCGCAGCAGAGGCACUUAUAUACGGCCCAAACCCAUCCGUUAUGACUGCAAAAGUCAACAUGGACUGGAUCCCCGCCAUACUCCGGCAUGCCAGCAAGAUUAGUCGGCAUAGAAUGGUCACAACAGGACUAGAAUCCGAAAAGCCAGCUGUUUCGCAUUUUCUGCUCCUACACCGCAUGCCCCGGCACGAACGUUAUCGCCCGAUUUCCACAAUCGAAUGCUGGACAUGCUUAAAUAAAAAUCGGGCAUUAUACCAAACUUAGUGCCCACUUCUUCUUCCCCAAUGCACGUGUCCUCCCUGCCGAUGCCAAUUAGGCCAAGUGCGAGACUCUAGCAUGCUUUGCCAAUGGCUGGUUUGCCAUGUUUCCAUGCAGCCCCGAAACCUUUGAUUCCCAUCAAGAAGCCCAGCACGACCACAGGUGAUUGCCCCACUCACCUGGAGCAGGCCCGAAGUGCUUGACGGCCUCACGGUGGCUCUUGGGACCGCGCAACAGGACGCAGUCCUUGCCUGUCGGGCGCUCCAGCGCCAGCUGAUCGAACGUCAGGCACUCACCACCGGCCUGUGAGGAAUGGACAGAAACAGGAACACGGCGAGCCCUGAAGAACCCAUACGAUGCAUACACUAGCAGUAUCCUGGUCCGUAAAUGACAGCCACUGCUCAAACUCCCGUUAAAGCCGGUCCCAUUAUCAAUGCUGCAGCUGAUAUUCCAUGCCGCACAGCUCGCUUGCUGCCUCGCGUGCAGCACGCAGUCAGCUGCAAUCCCACGGUGCUGGUCAGCACAACAUGGUCCCAAUCCAUAAGACUAAUGGCUUGCAUCCCAAGAGCAGGGGGGCUGAUCUGUGAAGAAGAAAUCUCCGGUCCAAACUUCCAGCAGCACUGUCAGGGUACAUUACAGAUAGUCGGGUUAAAACUUCGCGCCACCAUAUGGAGCGGUCAGCUCCUAGGCAGACAAUUGCGAGUGUGAACUUGCUGAAGGUAAUGCCUGCAUCCAAAGACCUCCAGCAACUAAAGAAAACCUUAAGACAACAGUCCACCGCUCCCGAGCAGCUGACAUUCGCGAGGUUCGAUGAUGUUGAAUGUUAUACGUUCAUUUGGCAAGGUCCCUGACGAAAGUCGCUGACAUCUAGGAGCUGCUGCUGAAGCCCAGCCGCCGCCUGCCGCCGAGAGCUUCUGCUACCCAAAAAGAAACAACUGCUGCUGCCAUC
rnacentral:lncRNA from 1 species